rnacentral:rRNA from 1 species
GAUGAACGCUAGCGGCAGGCCUAAUACAUGCAAGUCGAACGGAUAUAUGUUUUUCGGAAUAUAUAUUAGUGGCGCACGGGUGAGUAACACGUACAUAACUUGCCCUCAAGCGGGGGAUAGCCUUGGGGAAACUGAGAGUAAUACCCCCAUAGAAUUAUUGGACGGCAUCGUUUGAUAAUUAAAACUACGGUGUUUGGGGAUAGAUGUGCGUCUGAUUAGCUAGUUGGUGAGGUAACUGCUCACCAAGGCGACGAUCAGUAGGGGGCGUGAGAGCGUGGCCCCCCCACACGGGUACUGAGACACGGACCCGAUCCUACGGGAGGCAGCAGUAAGGAUAUGGUCAAUGGAGGGAACUCUGAACCAGCCAUGCCGCGUGAAGGAUGACGGCCCUCUGGGUUGUAAACUUCUUUUGGAU